AGGAAUUGUUUAAAAGUGUUUCUAACUGUCUCCUUAGCGUUGGCUCACAGGUCUGAAUCACAGAGAAAAGAGCCUCCCUGCGAAGCUGACAGUUCAAAGAUACAAAGGAAAAAUUUGCAAGGACACACAUGGAAAACUUGAGUUGUGCUCAAGUAAAUUUGAUUCACUGUAAAUGUCACUGCAGAUAAAGCUUUUCAAGAAGGGUGCAAGAGUAGACAGGACUUGGAGGGUGAGCUCUCUGCUGGCAGGAUGCACAGUUAGAAGAAAUCUGUUGUGAAGAUUACAGCUGAUAUUCGUUUUUUUAGAUCAGCUAGUAACCUGCUGGACACAUGGAUAGGUCAUGUGGAUUCCUUACACGGCAGGAAGUUGGAAGUUGGACAACCUACUUGGAUUUCAUCCGUAAGACCAUGGACAACAUAUAUUGGAAUGGUUGUUUGGAUUUAGAAUGAAGAGAUGAACAGGACCAGAAAGUCAAAGAGUGUGAUUUGAGGUAUGUCUUUUAUAUGUUGUAAUUUAGGGAUCAGUCUCACUGUUACUGUUAUUACUAAGAAGAAGGACAACAACAACAGAAGAAAACCUAACUCGGGAAAUUUUAAUGAUCGUUUAUGGAGAAUUGAGGGGCUCCUCAGAAAAAAAAAAAAAAAAGAAAAGAAAGAAAAAAUAUGAUAUUAUCCAGCACAGUCCUCACAGCUGAUGAAGAGACCCGGGCACCAGUCAGCCACUGAUUGGUGAUGUAAAGUUGAGUAACUUACAUAUACACUCUGGGACUUACUUUCCCCUCCUAAUAUCUGUAAGCCAAAGUCUCUCUUACUGUGACCCUACACAGCAGCUAAAAAGACAGAUUCUGAUUCUGGUUUUGGUUUAAGGCUUAGUGAUGCUAAAGAACCACAAAUACGUGUGCCAAUAAUGAAAUAAAAGUAAACAUGAAAUACAGCAUCAUCUUAUUAACCAUUACCAAAACUGCAAUAUUUUACUUUUAGCUGUGUAUUGACUAUAUUGAUUCUAGCCUUCUUUAAAGCAGUACUUGGUUCAAAGACACUUACUUACUUUAACAAUUUCUCAUUAGAAGGGAAUAUACUGACAGCAGAUAUUACCUCUACUAUACAGAAGUUAAAACAUACUGGAAGCUUAUGUUUUUGUCUUGUAUGUUUUAAUGCAGAGGGAGAAGUGUUGCUACUAAGCUGGGAGCAGGAGGUAUUUUUAGUUGCUGAAUAUUAAUGAAUCAAUGACUUCCCAAUCUUUCAUGAGAUUGUGGAGAAUAUACAAGUACCAAGCUGCAUUAAAAAGGAGGUAUCUCUUAAAAAUUGCUAUAGGAAUUAAAAAUACUAACAACAAAUACAUCAUUCGAGCUUCUACUUCAUUUCACUUGUAGACUGGGGAUGUUCAUGAGUUGAAUCUCACAAAGAGACCUCUAGUGACAGAGUAAUACACUGCCAGUACACACAGGUCCUGUAGGAUGUCAAAAUCAUUCCUGUUUGGAAAGUAGCAGUGUCAUAGAAUCACAGAACCACCAAAUCAUUAAAGUAGGAAAAGACCUCUAAGAUCACCAAACCACCAUUCCAUCCCCACCAUGCCCACCGACCAUGUCCUCAGUGCCACAUCCACACAGUUCUGGAACACCUCCAGGCACGGUGACUCCACCACCUCCCUGGGCAGCUGUGCCACUGCAGCACCGCUCCUUUUGAGAAGAAAUUGUUCCUAAUAUCCAACCUGAACAUAUCCUGGCACAACUUAAGGCCUCACAAUUAUUAUAAAAGAGAGACUUGUCUGUAACAUUCAGUAAUGAACUGAUAUCCUUAAGUAAAAUUCUGAUUGUCAGUUUUCUCCUUGAGUUAGUUUUUUUAUGACAAUAAUCUUGCACUGCUUUGCUCUGGACAAACUGUUUGUUCAUCAUUUGAACUUAGAAAGAACAAUUUUUUACUCUCACUUUAAAUGAAGUUAACACAGUACCAGAAAUUGCACAGGGGAAGUGAAGAGGCAAGCUGACUCCAUUAUUAUUUACUAUUUACAUCACUAUACUUCAAAGCUGUAAUAAUUUGAGAGAUCAAGGUUUCAUCUGGCUAGGCACUGUACAGAGAAAAAAUAUAUAUUACAUUGUUGCAAUUAUUAUUUUUUUCCUCUUAUUGUUCACUCUUGGAAAUACGCAGGGUAAUAACCAAAAUCCCUAUCUCUGACCUCUCCAAAGUCAGUGAAAGCCCGUAGACUUUCUAAGGCAGAGCUUACACCCAGCUCAUCACCUUGAAAAGCUACUAGUGCACCUGCAUUACGUGGAGGAUGUACAGACUUAUGUCUUUUCAUAUUACACCUCCUUAGCAUGCUCCCCUACCAGACAAAGCUUCACUCUUGGUUGUACUUGUGCAUCCGAAAACUUUUCUUAACACUCAAGAUAAACGGGAGACAAUAAAGCUCUGCUUUUAUAGCACUUUUCAUGCAGAAUGGGUCCUUAAGCACUUCACCGUGUUAAAUCACGCAGUUAGAGAAUUAAAUAAUGUAAAUUUAAUAUUUUUUUCUUUAAAGCAUUACUACUUGUUUUAUUGCUACUGUCCAAAUUGAAUAAUUCUCUCCUUCCUUUUUUAGUGCUAUUAUUUAAUAUUUAUAUACCAGUGCUGAUCAGAGGUCUCAGUAAGACUAGUCUAGGUGGUGCACUGACUGAACAGUUGCACAUCACGCUUCUCAGGAGCAGAUCCUUCAGAGGUGAAUUUUACUUUUACUGAGGUCACUGGCAAAACUUCCACCAGCUUCACAGAGGUUCUUAGAGAGACCUGGUCCAAGUAGAGACACCUGAUGAUCCCAUGACCCUAGGCUGACUAUAGAUGGAAUGUUUGUGAAUUUAAAAAUCCCAAGAUGUUAUUCUGGAUGCUCAGCACCAGGAGUUGAAGCAAUCAACUUGGCUCAUGAUCAAGGUGCAAACAUUGCAGCUAGAUCUUCAGUGUGCGCCAUGCGAAAGAACAGAGAGCUCUGCGGAAAUCCUGGCCAUGGAGAUGAGUUGAAAGUCAGCUCAGGAUGAUGCGUGUGAAGGGCUUAACAAUUUUGAUAUAGUGUCUAUUGAGCCUCGGCAGAAAGCUCUAUCAAGAGGCAAAAAAAUAGCAUUGAAAUGCUCAGCCUCUGUUUAACCAAGUGGCCAGAGGCUUGGACAAAUACUCAGAUCUACUCGCUAGGGGAUUGGGCACAAGUUUGCUGAGAGGAGUGACGAGCUCUGGCUCAGACAUGAGACAUACUGGAGCCACAGGUCUCACAUGUACAAGCCUCAGUGCAAGAACUAAGGCCAUGCUUUCUUUCCACAAUUAUUUCUGGAGUGAUAACUUUUGGCUCCCUGCAGUUUGCCAACAGAGCUGUAGAUUCCUGAAAAAUUGCUUCGAGCGUACUGACCUUUCUAUUCUGAGCCACCUUUCACUCGUCCCUUAGAAACAGCAGCGAGCCCCAGGGAAGCACAGCCUGCAGGCUGCAAACCACUGCCCUAGAUACUCCUCAGGCAGUUCUGAAGCACCAGCUUUCCCCAGGCUGCAGAAAAUCUGACCUUAGCACAACCUUUCUGGAGAGACAGACCCAGGCAGAAAAAACACCCUCUGGGAAGGUUUCAGUGAAGUAAUCCCUCAUGGGCAGUGGCCUGCAGCGAAGCACCAACCCCUCUUUCUUUUAGUAGAAACUCGUCUCUACUGAUUUCAUCUUAUCACAUGCUAGAUAACCACCGAGGGCUGCUCCGAAAGUAAUGCCUCCUAUUUUAUUAUGUUGGCCCACAAUGUCAGACGUGAAUGUUGUUGGUAUAGUAGCAGAAGUUGAACCUUCCCAGCAAUAUCUCAUUACAUGCUGUUGCCGUGUGACAGAUGGCAGCAGAGGGGCAGUCUUACAAAAUGGCAUCUGUCAUGGAAGCACACAUGAAGUAAAGGUGUGGCACUGAAUUCCUCUACAUGGGAAAAUGGCAUCCACUGACAUUCACUGACAUCUGUUGAACGUUUAUGGAGACCAAUCAGUGGAUGUGAACACAGUGAGGUGAUGUGUGGUACAUUUCAGCAGUGGCGACAGUGACGUGGGAGACAUGCCAAGUUCUGAAUGGCCAUGCAGAGCUGUCACACCAUGAAACAAAGAGCUCAUCUCAAUCAGUUCACCUGUGUGAACUGCGAUUAUACGCAGGGAACUGUAUAUGGAGCUGAAUAUCAACUUCAAUGCGUUGGAAAUGAUGGUGACAAUAUUGGAAUAUCAAAAAGUUUGCACCAGGUGGGUCCCAUGAAUGCUCACACAGGCACAGAAAUAACAUCAUAUGCAAGUUUGUCAGGAUCUGUUGAACCAAUAUGAGGCUGAAGGUGACUGCUUUCAGGACCAUAUCAUUACCAGUGAUGUGGUGUCACACUAUGAGCUGGAGUCAAAACAGCAGUCCAUGGAGAGGCAACAUGUGAAUUCCACACUGAAGAAAAAGUUCAAGAUGCAGUCCUUAGUGAGUAAAGUGAUGCGUGCUGUUUCUUGCGAUAGGAAAGGAGCAGUCCUUCUGAAUUUCAUGGAACCUGAACAAACCAUCAACUCUGACCACUAUGUAGCAAGAUGAAGGUUCAAAGUUGCAGUCAGGCCAGAGAAGAAUACAACCUUUCUCUUGCAAUGCAAUAAUGCCAGGCCCCAUAUCAGUCUGAAGACCAUUAAGCACACUGUCAGUCUUGGCUGCACUGUCCUACCAUACCCACUGUAUAGUCUAGAUUUGGUCCCUUCUGAUUUCCAUCUGAUCAGACCAAUGAAAGAUGGAUUGUGUGGGCAACCUUUUCCUUGUAACGGCAGCUGUGUAAUAGUGGGUCACCUUUACUGGUGCAGAUUGUUACAACCACAGCGUGUAGGCUCUUGUUCACCUCUGAUGAUAAUGUAUAUCUACUGGUGGUGAUUAUGUUGAAAGAUUGUGUUUUGUAGCUGAGAAUUUGCUCUGUCAAAUAAUGUUAUUGUGCUCUUUGUAUCUGUUGUAGUUUCCAUGGAAAUAAGCAGGAAGCCUUACUUUCAGAGCAACCUACAUACAAUGUUCAGUGGACUUUCAUGAACCUAUGUACACCUCUUCUUUCUCAUAUUCCUUGCCAAAGUCUGAACAGAACAUUUUCGUGGAUUUUUUUUUCUUUUUGUCAGUCCAAUGAAAUAAAACUAUCAAGAGACUGUAUUGAUUUUCUAACACAAUCUGAGGGAAAACAGGUUUCUUGUCAACUUCCUUUUCUCCUGGCUGCCCACCCAUGAAAUGCUGCAGAGCCAAAAGGCUACUAGCUCUGGGAAUUUCAGAGCACUCUGCAAAGCAGGCACCUCAAAACCCUGAUAGUUCCUUACUGCCAAUGAGGAGAUGUCUGGUCUCUGAGUGACUCAGGAAGCACUACUGAUUUCAUGAAGAAAAAUUGCAAUGCAGUAAAAUCUUAGGAGUUUUGUCACAGGACAAUCUUAAGGCUUGACUCUAUUGCAAUUGACUCUGUCCUGUCAAUCUUCUCUGAUUUAUAUGCAUCCUUCAUGUGACACAAUUGCACUCCUUUCUACAGCCUUCCACAGCUCAGUCACCUUUUCUCUAAUGGAAGAUCCCCUUCCUUACCACCUUGCUAGGCUGUGUUUCACCAAAGCCCUCAAUUCUUCUCCCUGAAAACCAAAAAAAUUAUGCUCAAUUAACACUUUCAAAAAGCUUAUUUCCCUACUUUACUCCGGACAAGCACACCAAGAUGCUACAGAAAAGCAGAGAGCAGCAUGAACGUGUGUUUUCCUGUGAAAGCUCUCGCCCUUGCAUCUCCCUGCCGAUUCUCUGUUACUGUCUAUAGCAUUUCCCUGCAGGCUGCUGUCUGAAUGACAAACAAGUGAAAGGACAAGACGUGUCUGAAAAGAACAAAAGCCCCAAGAAAACCCUGAAGCGCUUUUCCAUUCCUGCAGAGAAUAACCCUCCAGGAGUCAAAAAAAAAAAACCACCUCUGAACACCCUAACAGAAGUGCCCUUUGAGGCUUUCAAGUCAAGAAAGUCUUCCCCUAAAUUUAAGACUCCCUUCUACCCCACUCAAUUUGGAGCACUCAGCUGAAGGGCUCUGUGCUCUAACCAUCAGAAGAUAAUUCAGAGGCCUGUAGCCUAGAGCAGCUUCCUCUUGUUAGGGACAGAAAUACAAGGAGUCCUUUCCCAAGAUAUUCCAAAUGGUUUUGUCCAAGGGAGACUUUCAAUUGACUUUGGUUGCCUCAGAUCUUAUCUCAAUAUGGCACUCACACAUAGAAUCAAAGCUUUUGUGUGUGCUGAAGUUCUGCGGCAGCUAGGAGAACAGUUGUUCAGAUUGGACAAUUAUGGCUAUGCAACACUUCUACAGGAUUGGUUUUACAAAGAACUGUACUCGCUGGUUUUGAGACCAAAUAGGGUUUUCCGAGACUGAAGUCACACUCCAAAAUUAAGGUACUGUAUGUUUAAAAAAAAAAAAAAAAAAAAAAGUAGCUCUAUAAAUGAAAUGUCAAAAUCUGGUAAUUACAUGAAAGACAUUGUGGAAAACAUGUGACAUACUGGUUUUUAUCAGUUGUGAAAAUGUUGAGGACACAGUUCCUCUUCCUUGUUUUUACUUAACUGCUCAGAUUUUCAACUCUUGCUCAGGAAAACAUUCUCUGACAAUUUUGUAUCUGUGGGUACAUAGGCUUCCCAAUACUUCAUUCUUUAUUUUUUCAAAUAAUUUGUUCUCAUACAACUUUUCUUAGAAAAAAUUAUCACCUCUCCAAAAAGUUUGUAAAAAAAACCUCCUCUGAGUUUCUGAAGCUGAAGCAGGAGAGUGAAACUGGAAAUGGAUUGAGGACUACUGCACAGAUGCUGUGGGGAAGGCGGACAAGGCAGUCUUUAAGACUGUUCUACCAUACACCUGGGGCUCUCAGCUGCUUGAGCUCUUACAGUAAGGGGCCCUUACAUCUUCUGACUCACAGAGGCCUAAGCACAGUGUUGUAUCUGGCCAUUUUUUUGAGGACAGUCCACAUCACCAUGCCACCACUGCACAGGAUAUUCUGCAGCAAGGCUUCUUUGUGGUUGUUGCCUACAGAGACUCAGAGGCACUCAGUCAGGCUCUUCCAUUUAUGACGCUGUUGUUCUUACUGUUAAGUCAAGCAAUGUCUUUAGAUUUAAUUUCCUUUCCAUUAUAAUCUAUAACAGGGUAAUAUCAUGGUUCCUUCUGCCACACUCUCAAGCACAUAUAAUAUCUGGUGUGUGGGAAAUAAAGACAUAAUGUCAUUUCUGAUUUGGUUGUCUUCUCUCCUUAAUAUUUUAAUAGAUGCCUAAUGUAACUUUUAUGUUCAGAAAGAGUUCAUUAGUUUACAAAUUAGCAGCCUGAAGUGAAUUUUGCUACCAUUGAGUGACUUUCCAUUUCUAGCAAUAUGCUUGUUUGGAUUUUUCUUUUUUAGGAUUAGUGUUUAUAAAAUAUUAGCGAGAUGAAUCAUUCAACUACAUAAACUAUUGAGACAUCUACGAUCAGUUCUUCCUCUUAUUGUCUGCUCUUCCACCCACACCUUAUGCCACUUCCAAACUCAAAACCCUCCCCACCAUUUUUGCUGCUGACAGAAGAAAAUGUUGUAUCUCUGCAUCUGAUUCAGGAACGCAGGUUAAGGAAAUUAGAUAAGCUGGAUUAAAAAAAAAAACAAACUGUUGAUGACAUGGUAAACUUCACUCUGAAAGCUGCUCAGUGUCUGCCUCUAAAGUUUAAGAGACUGCCACUGGCCUUAGGUAGCUUCCAAAGUGUGAGGCUAAAAGAUCAAUGAUCAGAGCCUCCUCAGGUGUGAAAAGACAGCCUAAAAACUGAAAUCUUGGAAGAGACUUCAAAGAAGUAGAUUGAAUUAAUAAACAAAACCAAAAGCAAAUCAACAACAACAACUCUUAGGAGACAGAUCUAUAUAUUUUCCUGGUAUUACAAAGACCAGUUUGAUGGCACUGACAGAAUAUCUUCAGGUUCUCUUCAUGCCUGGAAUGUUUAACUAGUGUUAUGAACUGCAUUCAUGUCAACACUGGAAGUUCUUGAGUAAGAAUGACUAAGAACAUAAAAGUGUUCAGUGAAAAGAAUUGAGAAAGUUCUGCUGAAUUUCAGCAACUGACCUGCAGUGAGUUUGUAUUCUCCCCUCCCUCCCCCCCCCCCUCCCAUAUUUUUUUGUUUUUAAUAAGAUGAAGCACAUGAGGAAGAAGAAUAAUCCAAGGCAACAAAGGAUUAUGAGAGGAAGGUAACCUACUAUGUUAAGUGUAUUUUCAGGCCAGUCCUGCUUAAGGACCACCUGAUGUCAGCAGCUUGCUGUAGUAAAACCAGUGGGAAUAAAGGGCAAAAUCAGGUCCCCGCAGUAUAGAAAGAAGGGCUUCAUAGCAAGAAAAGAGAAAGCAGCUUCACAAGGUAGACAUAAGGGGCAAAUAGAGAGAGUUUAUGUAGAGAGUAUUAGAAAACAAGGGAUUCCAAGCACUUUCACGGGUGCUAGGUCCAGAAUAACAAGGAGAAUGAAGGCCAUAAAGAUAAGGACUGGAGAACAGCUCGAAAACAUUUGGCAGGGAGGUGAUUAGAUGUCUGAAGUGCAAGCUGAAACCAGUUCGGGGGAUGCCCCCCCUUCGGGGUCAGAAGUUGGCAGUGAGGAAGACUACGAGCCUUCGCAAGGAAGACUACGAGCCUUCAUCAUCACGACCUACUACGCACGCGCAAGGAGGGGAGGGACUGUAUGCUAAUGAGCUCUUGGGAAUGUAGUGAAUAUGUAUCCGAAUUCCUGUCAACUACUGAUUAUGUAUUAGUUUGACCUAUAUCUAUAGCAUGAUUUCUUUGGACGGUGUGCAAGUUAGGUGGAACGAUCCCCCUUGCACCAGGGUGUACGCGCGUCACUAAUAAACACAUACCUGCU
ensembl:lncRNA